rnacentral:rRNA from 1 species
UUGACCUCAAAUCGGGUGAGACUACCCGCUGAACUUAAGCAUAUCAAUAAGCGGAGGAAAAGAAACUAACAAGGAUUCCCCUAGUAACUGCGAGUGAAGCGGGAAAAGCUCAANUUUAAAAUCUGGCGGUCUUUGGCCGUCCGAGUUGUAAUUUAGAGAAGCGUCUUCCGCGCCGGACCGUGCACAAGUCUCCU